GAUGAACGCUGGCGGCGUGCCUAAUACAUGCAAGUCGAGCGAACAGACGAGGAGCUUGCUCCUCUGACGUUAGCGGCGGACGGGUGAGUAACACGUGGAUAACCUACCUAUAAGACUGGGAUAACUUGGGAAACCGGGGCUAAUACCGGAUAACAUGUUGAACCGCAUGGGUCCACAGUGAAAGGCGGUUUUGCUGUCACUUAUAAGUUGGUCCGCGCCGCAUUAGCUAGUUGGUAAGGUAACGGCUUACCAAGGCAACGAUGCGUAGCCGACCUGAGAGGGUGAUCGGCCACACUGGAACUGAGACACGGUCCAGACUCCUACGGGAGGCAGCAGUAGGGAAUCUUCCGCAAUGGGCGAAAGCCUGACGGAGCAACGCCGCGUGAGUGAAGAAGGUCUUCGGAUCGUAAAACUCUGUUAUUAGGGAAGAACAAAUGUGUAAGUAACUAUGCACGUCUUGACGGUACCUAAUCAGAAAGCCACGGCUAACUACGUG
rnacentral:rRNA from 1 species